GGGCGAAUAGCUCAGCUGGUUAGAGCACUCGGCUUACAUCCGAGAGGUCACAGGUUCGAUCCCUGUUUCGCCCA
rnacentral:tRNA from 1 species